UACAGAGGUCUCAAGCGUUGUUCGGAUUCAUUGGGCGUAAAGGGUGCGUAGGUGGCGGGGCAAGUCUGGUGUGAAAUCUCGGAGCUCAACUCCGAAACUGCACUGGAUACUGCCUUGCUUGAGUACUGGAGAGGAGAUUGGAAUUUACGGUGUAGCAGUGAAAUGCGUAGAUAUCGGGAGGAACACCUGUGGCGAAAGCGGCUCACUGGACCACAACUGACGCUGAGGCGCGAAAGCUAGGGGAGCAAACAGG
rnacentral:rRNA from 1 species